ACUGUUUUCCUCACUCACCUCAGCUUCUUGGACACCUACCCAACAGCAAACAAGAAACUACAUCAACCAAUAUGACCACUGGGAAUCUAGGGAAAAGAUUUAUUUCAUCCAAAAUUUUGGACAAAUGAUGAGUGGUUACUGGCUAGAAUGAAGGAAGGCUCUCUCUGCCAGAGUGGGGCAAUGGAUCCCAACCUUCAGCAUGCUGAAGAACUGGUGGGAAAGUUCAGCGGAGGAUGGGGAUCUACCUUUUUAACUAAUUCUAAUGCAAGUGAUUCUUGGGGCAGAAUUGGAGAAAUUCUGGGUACAAUUGGCAUGAACAUAAAUGUUCACUGAAGAAAACUUAAUAGUGACAACUAAUAGGUACUGCCUACUUACUGAAUAUCAGGUGCAAUCCUAGAUGAUAUACCAUCUCAGGGAAUCCUCAGAUCAACACCAUGAAGCUGGCAGUAUCACACCGCUAUUUGACAGGGGAAGAAAUGGAGGCACCAUGUUCCAGCAACUUUCCAAAGCUGCAGAGCUGGACGAAGUAGAGCAGGGGCCUGACCCCAAGCCCCUGAAUUGUAACAGAUAGCUUAGUCCUUCCAUUUAUCCAUUUUUGUAACUAAAAUGGAAUCAGGCUGUCAUUUGUCACGUGUUCUUUUCACUUAUCACAUGUGACCUUCUUUGAUGGACAUGGUUGACAGUGUUCUGUGCCCCACCACUAUGGGACAUGUGCUUUCACAGGCAUCCAAUGUUCUCUGAGAUAUCAUAUCUGGGAUGCCAGAUUCUAAACCCCAAAGCCUUAGGAACAUCAGGCUGUAGCAGCUUAAGAUGAGAAGACAGCAAGGUGUGUGGGUUGGUUAAGAGUCUGACUCUUGAUUUCGCCUCAUGUCAUGAUCUCACGGUUAGUGAGAUCAAGCCCCG